rnacentral:rRNA from 1 species
UGCGGUCGCACGCUUCUUUUUCCACCGGAGCUUGCUCCACCGGAAAAAGAGGAGUGGCGAACGGGUGAGUAACACGUGGGUAACCUGCCCAUCAGAAGGGGAUAACACUUGGAAACAGGUGCUAAUACCGUAUAACAAUCGAAACCGCAUGGUUUUGAUUUGAAAGGCGCUUUCGGGUGUCGCUGAUGGAUGGACCCGCGGUGCAUUAGCUAGUUGGUGAGGUAACGGCUCACCAAGGCCACGAUGCAUAGCCGACCUGAGAGGGUGAUCGGCCACAUUGGGACUGAGACACGGCCCAAACUCCUACGGGAGGCAGCAGUAGGGAAUCUUCGGCAAUGGACGAAAGUCUGACCGAGCAACGCCGCGUGAGUGAAGAAGGUUUUCGGAUCGUAAAACUCUGUUGUUAGAGAAGAACAAGGAUGAGAGUAACUGUUCAUCCCUUGACGGUAUCUAACCAGAAAGCCACGGCUAACUACGUGCCAGCAGCCGCGGUAAUACGUAGGUGGCAAGCGUUGUCCGGAUUUAUUGGGCGUAAAGCGAGCGCAGGCGGUUUCUUAAGUCUGAUGUGAAAGCCCCCGGCUCAACCGGGGAGGGUCAUUGGAAACUGGGAGACUUGAGUGCAGAAGAGGAGAGUGGAAUUCCAUGUGUAGCGGUGAAAUGCGUAGAUAUAUGGAGGAACACCAGUGGCGAAGGCGGCUCUCUGGUCUGUAACUGACGCUGAGGCUCGAAAGCGUGGGGAGCAAACAGGAUUAGAUACCCUGGUAGUCCACGCCGUAAACGAUGAGUGCUAAGUGUUGGAGGGUUUCCGCCCUUCAGUGCUGCAGCUAACGCAUUAAGCACUCCGCCUGGGGAGUACGACCGCAAGGUUGAAACUCAAAGGAAUUGACGGGGGCCCGCACAAGCGGUGGAGCAUGUGGUUU